UUAAGGAUGGUCCCGCGUCCCAUUAGCUUGUUGGUGGGGUAAUGGCCUACCAAGGCGACGAUGGGUAGCCGGCCUGAGAGGGUGUCCGGCCACACUGGGACUGAGAUACGGCCCAGACUCCUACGGGAGGCAGCAGUCGAGAAGCUUCGGCAAUGGGCGAAAGCCUGACCGAGCGACGCCGCGUGAGCGAUGAAGGUCCUAUGGAUUGUAAAGCUCUGUCAGAUUGGGAAGAAAACUUCGCGAUUAAUACCCGCGAAGCUUGACGGUACCAUCAGAGGAAGCACCGGCUAACUCCGUGCCAGCAGCCGCGGUAAUACGGAGGGUGCGAGCGUUGUUCGGAUUCACUGGGUAUAAAGGGUGCGUAGGCGGCCUCGUAAGUCAGGGGUGAAAUAUGACGGCUCAACCGUCAAACUGCCCCUGAAACUGCAAGGCUUGAGUCCGGGAGAGGAAGGUGGAAUUCCUGGUGUAGCGGUGAAAUGCGUAAAUAUCAGGAGGAACACCGGUGGCGAAGGCGGCCUUCUGGUCCGGUACUGACGCUGAGGCACGAAAGCUAGGGGAGCGAACAGGAUUAGAUACCCUGGUAGUCCUAGCCGUAAACGAUGGGCACUAGGUGUCGGAGGAGUCUACCCCUUCGGUGCCGCAGCUAAUGCAUUAAGUGCCCCACCUGGGGAGUACGAUCGCAAGGUUGAAACUCAAAGGAAUUGACGGGGGCCCGCACAAGCGGUGGAGCAUGUGGUUUAAUUCGAUGCAACGCGAAGAACCUUACCUGGGCUUGACAUGCAGGGGACAGGUGCAGAAAUGUACCCUUCUUCGGACCCCUGUGCAGGUGCUGCAUGGCUGUCGUCAGCUCGUGUCGUGAAAUGUUGGGUUAAGUCCCGCAACGAGCGCAACCCCUGUCUUCAGUUGCCAUCAGUUCGGCUGGGGACUCUGGAGAGACUGCCGGUGACAAACCGGAGGAAGGUGGGGACGACGUCAAGUCAUCAUGGCCCUUACGCCCAGGGCUACACACGUGCUACAAUGGUCGGUACAAUGGGCAGCAAUACCGUGAGGUGGAGCGAAUCCCAAAAAGCCGGCCUCAGUUCGGAUUGGAGUCUGCAACUCGACUCCAUGAAGUCGGAAUCGCUAGUAAUCGCGUAUCAGCAU
rnacentral:rRNA from 1 species